rnacentral:rRNA from 1 species
UGGGGAAUUUUGGCAAUGGGCGAAAGCCUGAUCCAGCAAUGCCGCGUGUGUGAAGAAGGCCUUCGGGUUGUAAAGCACUUUUGUCCGGAAAGAAAUCCUUGGCUCUAAUACAGUCGGGGGAUGACGGUACCGGGAAGAAUAAGCACCGGCUAACUACGUGCCAGCAGCCGCGGUAAUACGUAGGGUGCAAGCGUUAAUCGGAAUUACUGGGCGUAAAGCGUGCGCAGGCGGUUUGCUAAGACCGAUGUGAAAUCCCCGGGCUCAACCUGGGAACUGCAUUGGUGACUGGCAGGCUAGAGUAUGGCAGAGGGGGGUAGAAUUCCACGUGUAGCAGUGAAAUGCGUAGAGAUGUGGAGGAAUACCGAUGGCGAAGGCAGCCCCCUGGGCCAAUACUGACGCUCAUGCACGAAAGCGUGGGGAGCAAAACAGGAUUAGAUACCCUGGUAGUCCACGCCCUAAACGAUGUCAACUAGUUGUUGGGGAUUCAUUUCCUUAGUAACGUAGCUAACGCGUGAAGUUGACCGCCUGGGGAGUACGGUCGCAAGAUUAAAACUUAAAUGAAUUGACGGGGUCAUAGCUGUUUCCU